GAUGAACGCUGGCGGCGUGCCUAAUACAUGCAAGUCGAGCGAACAGACGAGGAGCUUGCUCCUCUGACGUUAGCGGCGGACGGGUGAGUAACACGUGGAUAACCUACCUAUAAGACUGGGAUAACUUCGGGAAACCGGAGCUAAUACCGGAUAAUAUACUGAACCGCAUGGUUCAAUAGUGAAAGACGGUUUUGCUGUCACUUAUAGAUGGAUCCGCGCCGCAUUAGCUAGUUGGUAAGGUAACGGCUUACCAGGGCGACGAUGCGUAGCCGACCUGAGAGGGUGAUCGGCCACACUGGAACUGAGACACGGUCCAGACUCCUACGGGAGGCAGCAGUAGGGAAUCUUCCGCAAUGGGCAAAAGCCUGACGGAGCAACGCCGCGUGAGUGAUGAAGGUCUUCGGAUCGUAAAACUCUGUUAUUAGGGAAGAACAAAUGUGUAAGUAACUAUGCACGUCUUGACGGUACCUAAUCAGAAAGCCACGGCUAACUACGUG
rnacentral:rRNA from 1 species